rnacentral:rRNA from 1 species
GACGAACGCUGGCGGCGUGCUUAACACAUGCAAGUCGAACGGAAAGGCCCUGCUUUUGUGGGGUGCUCGAGUGGCGAACGGGUGAGUAACACGUGAGUAACCUGCCCUUGACUUUGGGAUAACUUCAGGAAACUGGGGCUAAUACCGGAUAGGAGCUCCUGCUGCAUGGUGGGGGUUGGAAAGUUUCGGCGGUUGGGGAUGGACUCGCGGCUUAUCAGCUUGUUGGUGGGGUAGUGGCUUACCAAGGCUUUGACGGGUAGCCGGCCUGAGAGGGUGACCGGCCACAUUGGGACUGAGAUACGGCCCAGACUCCUACGGGAGGCAGCAGUGGGGAAUAGUGCACAAGGGGCGGAAGCCUGACGCAGCAACGCCGCGUGCGGGAUGACGGCCUUCGGGUUGUAAACCGCGUUCGCCUGUGACGAAGCGUGAGUGACGGUAAUGGGUAAAGAAGCACCGGCUAACUACGUG